rnacentral:tRNA from 1 species
AGGCUCGUAGUACAAUUGGUAGUACACCGGACUCCAAAUCCGGGUGUUGGGGGUUCGAGUCCCUCCGAGCCUG